GAUGAACGCUGGCGGCGUGCCUAAUACAUGCAAGUCGAGCGAACAGACGAGGAGCUUGCUCCUCUGACGUUAGCGGCGGACGGGUGAGUAACACGUGGAUAACCUACCUAUAAGACUGGGAUAACUUCGGGAAACCGGAGCUAAUACCGUAUAACAUGUUGAACCGCAUGGUUCAACAGUGAAAGACGGUCUUGCUGUCACUUAUAGAUGGAUCCGCGCCGCAUUAGCUAGUUGGUAAGGUAACGGCUUACCAAGGCAACGAUGCGUAGCCGACCUGAGAGGGUGAUCGGCCACACUGGAACUGAGACACGGUCCAGACUCCUACGGGAGGCAGCAGUAGGGAAUCUUCCGCAAUGGGCGAAAGCCUGACGGAGCAACGCCGCGUGAGUGAAGAAGGUCUUCGGAUCGUAAGACUCUGUUAUUAGGGAAGAACAAAUGUGUAAGUAACUAUGCACGUCUUGACGGUACCUAAUCAGAAAGCCACGGCUAACUACGUG
rnacentral:rRNA from 1 species